rnacentral:lncRNA from 1 species
UCUCCUCCAACUUAAUCGAUAUUGUUCUCAAUGGAGUAUGAAAAAUGAAGGGUGUAUAAAAAGAGAAAGAAAAAGAAGAGAUGUCACCUGAUCCAGAUGUCUUUUCAAAAUUAGUUCUUCCUCCAACUUAGCCAAUAUUGUCUUCAAAUUUCUAUAAAAGUUACAAGGCAAGACUCGAUUAAAAUAUAAAAGAAAGCAAAAGUAAAAGCUGGAACUAGGUUACCUCCCAAAAAGUGCUAAGUUUAUCGUCUUCAGCCAGAUCACAUUUAUUGACAGGUGCUUCCACAC